UAGUUAAAACCUUAUUAUUAGUUAACACGACUAUCUAUGUGAUUAUUGAUAUCUGUUACAGAUCUGUCACCUGUGUGUGUUCGUCUUUUAACUACAAUCAACCCUUAACUACAAUCAACCGCCGACGUAUGAGCAAACACACAUCAUCGCUAAACUAAUAAUGUUCACGGAUUAAAAAAAAGGUCAUGUUGCAUCGGUUCAGCAGCCUGAAUUUUUGUUAUUUACCUUCGAAGGUAUAUGAUGUAUGCAUAUGGUACGUUUCGUAACUUGCGAGUAUCGCGAAAUGGCGACAUUCUGCAGUUGGAAGUUUUGAAAAAGAGAACGCUUGUGGAGCACACUCAUGUCAUAGUCUGAAUGGUGCGAGAGUUUGGCCUGCUUCAUCUUCGUCCUAUGAUAGUUCACUGCUCGUUGCCGUUUUAGCGAGACUGUUGAGAUGUGCACACUGAUUGCCGUCUUGUUUUCAGGACGGAAACUUGUCGCGAGCAACGAUCAGGUUCAUCUCGAAACAGCUCAAGGAGCUUCAUGACUCACCUCCGGAGGGAAUUAAUGUCAGUUGUACACUUACACGUUCGCUCCAUUGCGCAAACUAUCAUUGUUCUUCCUGCCUUGCUUGUUUCGUGCAGUUUCAAGAUUCGCCGUUGCAGGUUUUGUUGAGCGAAGAGAAUAUUACCGAAAUAACUGCUGAAGUGGAAGGACCCGGUACGAAUGUUGUGUUGCUUUGCUCGUUUAUCGUGUCUCACUCAGUUCCCAUGAAACCUAGCGGACACCCCAUUCCAUGGCGGGACAUUCAAAAUGAGGCUAAUUCUCCCACAUGACUACCCUGAAGCUCCGCC
rnacentral:lncRNA from 1 species